CUCCAGACUCCUACGGGAGGCAGCAGUGAGGAAUAUUGGUCAAUGGCCGAAGGGCUGAACCAGCCAAGCCGCGUGAAGGAAUAAGGCCCUACGGGUCGUAAACUUCUUUAGUCAGGGAACAAAGGGAGCCACGCGUGGCGCUGUGAGUGUACCUGAAGAAUAAGCAUCGGCUAACUCCGUGCCAGCAGCCGCGGUAAUACGGAGGAUGCGAGCGUUAUCCGGAUUUAUUGGGUUUAAAGGGUGCGCAGGCGGAGGUGCAAGUCAGCGGUCAAAUUGCGGGGCUCAACCUGGAGACUGCACUUGAAACUGGGUGUCUUGAGGGCAGGAGAGGAAAGUGGAAUUCCUAGUGUAGCGGUGAAAUGCGUAGAUAUUAGGAGGAACACCAGUGGCGAAGGCGACUUUCUGGACUGUACCUGACGCUGAGGCGCGAAAGCGUGGGUAGCGAACGGGAUUAGAUACCCCGAUACG
rnacentral:rRNA from 1 species